UGACAAAAGUUAUCUUUAAUCACAGAUUCAAUCAUUUAUAAAUGCUCUUCCAGAGUAUCCCUUGCAUUCUCAUGGAUUGAUAAAUGCUCCGAAGGUGCUUGCUGAUGUUGUUGAAUCAACAAUAGGAGCAGUAUUUAUUGAUAGCGAUUCCUCAAUUGACAUUACCUGGGAGGUAGCGAAGACUCUAUUAGAGCCCAUAAUUACACCGGAAAUGCUUCAAACAAAUCCAGUGAAGAAGCUCCAUGAGACCUGUCAGAAGCAUAAACUUAAAGUUCGGGUAGUCGAUAUGUGGUCACAUGAUGGGAGUUUUGAAGUUUUUAUUGACAAUCAACUAAGGGGAAAAGGCAUGUGCCAUGUAAAGAAAGAAAUUGCAUUGAACAGAGCAGCAAACAAGGCAUAUAAUGAAGUUAUUAAUAUGCUUAGUGUUGGCAAUAUGAAGAUAGCUAAUAGCUAAUAAUCUGGGCUUAGAAAUAGAACUAUUUCUCUCUAUUUUGUUCUUAUUGCUCAUCUACAACUUUGGGUUUCCAAAGUUGAAAUACAGACUCACCAAUGAGUUUUUGGUAAUGAAAGAAUAUUUGAAAUUUCUCUGUGGA